AAUUUUAAGGUCAAGCUAUAAAGGGCGCAUGGUGAAUGCCUUGGCACUAGGAGCCGAAGAAGGACGCGAUAAGCUGCGAUAAGCCUUGGGUAGCCGCAAAUAG
rnacentral:rRNA from 1 species